UUCUGGGCCCCAGAAUGCGCUGAGUCAGCCCCUACGAACAGAUAUUGAAGGGUGGGGUUAGGAAGAGGGCCUGGCCACUCCAACUUUCAUUCUCCACAGCCAGGCCAGCCCAGCUCACUUCUUCCCCAGGGCCUCCAACCUUGGAUGUUCUGCCUGGUUGCCCCUGUCUCCAGCAGCUGGAUUAGCUCCCUUCUCCUAUACCCUGGUAUGCUCCUGCUGAGGCUGGCCUUGAGAAUCAGCUGAGAGCUCCUUUCCAGCCUAUUCUGCCCCACCCCAGAUCCCUUAGAGUAGGGCCAGCUCAGAGCUGGCACGCGUGGCCUCCUACUUCUGCUUCUCCCAUCCCCUGGAACAGGAAGACACAGCCAGAGCAACAGGCACUGGAGAGACAGUUUAUUGACAGGUUACAGCCCAGGACAGCUUCCCCCCUCCUGGAGUGGAUAGGAGUAGGGGGGUCACAUGCGGGAGUUGCGCUCCUCAUCUUCAUUUUCAAGUAGAUAGGCUGGCCGCACCCUUACCCUCGGUCAUACAGGAUACAGUAUGGGACAAAGAGUUGGCGCAGAAAGUCCCAGAUGUCUCUGUAGGUCCAGUCCUGGAAGGUCAAAGUCACAGAAGUGUCACAAGCCAAGCAAUGAGACAGGGAAAGACUUCACCCUGUCCUCUUCCUUCCAGCCCACCCUCCGCUACAGUGUGAGCUGUGUGUGCAAGCCAGAGCUGUCUAGUGAUGAUGGAAAUAGUCUCCGUCUGUGCUGCCUCGCACAGUGGUCACUUGAGAUGUGGUGAAUGCAAGUGAAGAACUGAAUCUUAACUGUAUUAAAUUAAAAAAACUGAGAUAUA